rnacentral:lncRNA from 10 species
ACUGACACUGCCCGAUCGCCUUGGAAUCGCCCUAGACCAUCACAGACGCCGAGCUUCGGCCUGCCCAGUUCCCUUAUUAGGCCGAGACACUUUAACUAAAUUAUCUGCUUCCCUGACUAUUCCUGGAUUACAGCUACAUCUCAUUGCUGCCCUUCUUCCCAAUCCAAAGCCUCCUUUGCAUCCUCCUCUUGUAUUCCCCCACUUUAACCCACAAGUAUAAGAUACCUCUACUCCC